rnacentral:rRNA from 1 species
CCCUUAGAUGUUCUGGGCCGCACGCGCGCUACACUGACGAAUGCAACGAGCUUAUAACCUUGGCCGAAAGGUCUGGGUAAUCUCCAAAUUUCGUCGUGAUGGGGAUAGAUUAUUGCAAUUAUUAAUCUUCAACGAGGAAUGCCUAGUAAGCGCAAGUCAUCAGCUUGCGUUGAUUACGUCCCUGCCCUUUGUACACACCGCUCGUCGCUCCUACCGAUUGAAUGGUCCGGUGAAGCGCUCGGACCGCGGCCUCUUGACGGUUCGCUGUCGAUUGGCUGUGGGAAGUUCGUUAAACCUUAUCAUUUAGAGGAAGGAGAAGUCGUAACA